AGAAAGAACAUUUGCUGAAUUGCAUGUCAAGUUUGACCAAUACAAAAUGUUUGCUAUUAGAUAUUUCUUUCUUGUAUUAUGGAUCUGCUUUACUGCUGUGGUCAAGGCACAGAAUGAAAAAGAUUACUGUGAACUACCUACACUGUCACAUGGGGCAAUCUUAACCAAACACGAACCAUACAGGAAUGAUGAAGAACUACAGUUUAAGUGCUAUGCUCCAUACAUGCCAACAAAUGAUGGCAGUGUCACUUGCAAAAAUGGAGAGUGGGAUGGACCAGUGGAAUGCAGAGUUCAAGAUGUACCAUGCGGACCACCACCAGUACCGGACCAUGGAGAUAUAAAAGAAAAAAAGAUGAACCGUGGUGUAAUUAAACAGGUCACCUAUCAGUGUCAAAGAUAUUAUAAGCUGAGAGAAUCAACCCCAGUAAAAUGCCAGCAGGGACAAUGGACACCAACUCCAAUAUGUUUAAGUCCUUGUGUGAUAGUAAAUAUUGACCCAAGGUAUAACCUUGAACAGCCAACUCAAACAAUAUAUAUUGAGGAGGGGAAAGAGGGGCAACUUCGUUGCAAAAGAGGUUAUUAUUAUAGGUCUGGUUGGAAUUAUUCCUACGAAGCACCUGCAAGUUGCCGUAAUGGACAAGUACAAUUCAAAGCAUGUGAAUCAUUCUGAGGCAAGGCAUAUGUUUCAAGGAUGUCUUCUGAACUAUAAACAGGUCAUGGAUUUUUUUUUGCCAUCCUCCUGAAAUGAAGAUACCAUCACAAGAACAUUAUGCAAUUGUUUAUUGUAAACAAAUUACAUCAAAUGUGUAAUAAGUAUCCAUUGUCAUAUUUCCUUAGAAAAAUUGCUUUGAUUUAUGCAAGUAUAAAGUAUAAGGCAGUAGUUUCCUAGUGUUGAAAUGUUCUGACCCCUGUACAAUGCACAGAAAGGUGCCAUGUACAUGUGGUCUAGCCAGGUUUUGUAUGAAAAUACAGUGUAUUCUUUACCCUCUUUAUUCAAACAGUAUGAAUAAACUUACAAAGGACUCUUAAAUACCAAGACUCUUGAAUAUCA